rnacentral:rRNA from 1 species
GAUGAACGCUAGCUACAGGCUUAACACAUGCAAGUCGAGGGGAAACGACAGAGGAAGCUUGCUUCCUUUGGGCGUCGACCGGCGCACGGGUGAGUAACGCGUAUCCAACCUUCCCGCAAGUAAGGGAUAACCCGUAGAAAUGCGGCCUAAUACCUUAUGUUUUCCUUAGAGGGCAUCUGAUGAGGAACAAAGAUCCGUCGCUUGCGGAUGGGGAUGCGUCUGAUUAGUUAGUCGGCGGGGUAACGGCCCACCGAGACGACGAUCAGUAGGGGUUCUGAGAGGAAGGUCCCCCACAUUGGAACUGAGACACGGUCCAAACUCCUACGGGAGGCAGCAGUGAGGAAUAUUGGUCAAUGGGCGAAAGCCUGAACCAGCCAAGUAGCGUGAGGGAAGACUGCCCUACGGGUUGUAAACCUCUUUUUGUUUGGGAAUAAAGUGCGGGGAACGCGUCCCGCAUUGCAUGUACCCGAAGAAAAAGCAUCGGCUAACUCCGUG